rnacentral:rRNA from 1 species
GUCCACGCCCUAAACGAUGACGACUAGAUGUCGGGAGGGUCUGCCUUUCGGUGUCGUAGCUAACGCGUUAAGUCGUCCGCCUGGGGAGUACGGCCGCAAGGUUGAAACUCAAAGGAAUUGACGGGGACCCCGCACAAGCGGUGGAGCAUGUGGUUCAAUUCGAUGCAACGCGAAGAACCUUACCUGGCCUUGACAUCCGCGGAACUUGGCAGAAAUGCCUUGGUGCCUUCGGGAAUCGCGAGACAGGUGCUGCAUGGCUGUCGU